rnacentral:RNase_P_RNA from 1 species
CAAGUAAGCCAGAUAAUCGCGGGCAGCAGGGAUGCUGCGUGAGGAAAGUCGGAGCUCCACAGAGCAGGGUGCUAGGUAACGCCUAGUGAGAGUGAUCUUAAGGAUAGUGCAACAGAAAUAAACCGCCUCUUAAUGCGCGCAAUGAGGUAAGGAUGGAAAGGCGAGGUAAGAGCUCACCAGCGGCCAGGUGACUGGUCGGCUAUGUAAACCCCACCUGGAGCAAGACCAAAAUAGGGCUAAAGAGUGUUGCUCGCACUCUCCGGUUGGUAGGUCGCUUGAGCUUACUGGUGACAGUAAGCCUAGAAAGAUGAUUAUCUAAUACAGAACUCCGCUUAUAGACUUGCUUGAUUU